CAGAGGGUGCAAGCGUUGUCCGGAAUCACUGGGCGUAAAGGGCGCGUAGGCGGCCCGAUAAGUAGGGGGUGAAAUCUUGCGGCUCAACCGCAAGGCUGCCUUCUAAACUGUCGGGCUGGAGCACGGUAGAGGCAGAUGGAAUUCCCGGUGUAGCGGUGGAAUGCGUAGAGAUCGGGAAGAACAUCAGUGGCGAAGGCGAUCUGCUGGGCCGUUGCUGACGCUGAGGCGCGACAGCGUGGGGAGCAAACAGGAUUAGAUACCCUGGUAGUCCACGCCGUAAACGAUGGGCACUAGGCGUCGGGGGGAGCGACCCUCCCGGUGCCGUCGCUAACGCAGUAAGUGCCCCGCCUGGGGAGUACGGCCGCAAGGCUG
rnacentral:rRNA from 1 species